AUGGAACCAAUAGAGAGACAAAGGUAGGUGAGGUAAUCUCUUUUAUUGGACCAACAUCUGUUGGUGAAAGACAAAGCUUUCCAGCCUACAGAGCUCUUCUUUCAGGUCUAUCUGGGAAACAUAUUCAGAGCAUCACAGGUAAACUCAAGGUGGAACAGAUUGUUUAGCAAAAUAGUUAACACAUAUUUCAAGGGACCAUUCAAAGUGAAGUGGCCCAUUAACACCCCGCCAAUUGUAGGUGGAAAAGUUAAGGGAGAAGGCAGUUGGAGGGGGGGGUUGUUAGGGGAAUAUGGAACAAAUGAUAUGUGGAGGUCAAUGAAGAAUAAUUAUGGAAUACUCAGAUGCCAUUGUUAUAGUGUCACUUGUCUGAUCACCACACUUCGAAUUGUUAUGCAGCAGUAGCUGCCUGUUACAAACUGUUGCUGGGAGAGGCAGACAUACAAUCAGUGCUAGUGCUAGCUCACUGGGGGCCCUAAACACGACUAUUCUGUCCCACCCCCAACACAUGCUAAUACCGGACCCCCUUGAGCUGUUCAGGGCCUAAGCAAUUACAGUACUUAAUCUGCUUAUGUCUGGUGCCCGCUCUGCAUACAAUUGCCUAUGGUAGCAGGGAGGUCUGUAGCAAUCCGAAAUGUGUACAGGUGCUAGCAGCCUUGGUGUCCUGUCCACGAUUCACCCCUCACAAUACAUAAGCGGACCUGUUCUCACACGCAGCGUGAUCACUGCCACAGCAGGUACAGGUCGCCAGCCAGAACAGCAGGGUCAUAAAAGACCUGCCUGAAAACGAAAGCCGUAGCCCCUGCGGUGGAAAGGCACUUGCCAGCGAGGCCUGGCCCACCUCCCCCCCCCCACGCCGUCGAGCCGCAGCGCCUGGUUUAUUUUAUACCCACACGCAGCGGCACGGUUCAUGCAGUCCUGUGCAGUGGGCCCCGGGGAAUCCCCGCUCCGACCUCGGCAAGAACCAUGGGCGGGGCUGCGCUAGCCAGUGACGGAGGGGACCAGCCCAGCUGCCCUUGUUUUCCCAUCGCUCUCAACAGCGGCCACACAACGCCCCAGCCUUGUCCAGCUCAGGGCAGGGGAAGCCGAGCUCGCCCCGCCCCAUCUCCUGCCCCGGGGCGGGACGCGCAAGGUCCCUCCCGCGCGGGGGCUGCGCUGGGCGGCGGGACCGCGCCCGCCAAUCCUAUGGCUCUGGGGACAGCGGGGAGCCCCGGUAGCCAAGGAGCAGCGAGAGCGCGGGGUGGCCGGCUGGCCGCGGGCAGCGAUGUGACCCGGGGCGCGGGCGGCGGCGGCGGUGUCUCCCCCUCGGGGCUGAGGCGGGACAUGGCGAAUGUCAAGGUGGCCGUCCGGGUUCGGCCUCUGAGCAAAAGAGAGAAUGCAGAAGGGGGAAGAAUAAUUGUAGAAGUUGAUGAAAAAGUGGCAAAAGUCAGAAACAUAAAGGUAGACAAUAGGCUUGAGGGCUCAUGGGACACAAGAGAGAAGAUUGUGGCUUUUGGCUUUGAUUUCUGCUAUUGGUCAGUUGAUCCUGAAGAUCCUAAAUAUGCAUCUCAGGAAGUGGUUUUCCAGGACCUCGGCACCUCAGUGCUAUCUGGUGCUUUUAAGGGGUACAAUAUCUGUCUUUUUGCAUAUGGACAGACGGGUUCAGGAAAAACGUACACGAUGAUGGGAACUCCAGCAUCCAUUGGGUUGACACCUCGUAUAUGUGAGGGCCUUUUCUCAAGGGAGGAUGAUUAUUCAGAGCAGCCAGCAUCUUGCAGAAUAGAAGUCAGUUUCCUUGAAAUCUAUAAUGAGCGUGUCCGAGAUUUGUUAAAGCAAUCAAACCAGAAAAAACCUUAUACGCUUCGUGUCCGAGAGCACCCUGAGACAGGUCCAUAUGUGCAAGGAUUGUCUCAGCAUUUAGUUACAGACUACAAAGAAGUCAUAGGACUUCUGGAAGAAGGAAUAGCCAACAGAAUCACAGCAGCUACGCAUGUUCACGAUGCCAGCAGCAGAUCCCAUGCCAUCUUCACCAUUCAAUACACUCAGGCUAUACUGGAGAACAAUCUCCCUUCUGAAAUUGCAAGCAAGAUCAACCUGGUGGACCUUGCAGGCAGUGAAAGAGCUGAUCCCAGUUAUUGCAAAGAUCGAAUUACAGAAGGUGCCAACAUUAACAAGUCAUUGGUUACUCUGGGAAUUGUCAUCUCCACCUUAGCACAAAACUCUCAGAUGUUCAGCAGCUGCCAGAGCAUAAACAGCAUAACUAGUGAAGGGGACAACCACGUGAGCAGUCACUCUCCAGGCAGUGUCAGCGGAACUAGGCGUCAGGCUUACAUCCCGUACCGUGACUCCAUCCUCACCUGGCUUCUGAAGGACAGUCUAGGGGGCAACUCCAAGACCAUCAUGAUCGCCACCAUCUCUCCUGCUAGCUCCAGCUACAAUGAGACCAUGAGUACUUUGAGAUAUGCCUCAAAUGCCAAAAACAUUAUUAACAAGCCCCGGGUGAAUGAGGAUGCAAAUGUAAAACUGAUUAGAGAACUACGAGAGGAAAUAGAUAGAUUAAAAACUAUGCUGAUGAGCUUUGAACUGAGGAAUUCUAGCCCUUCCUGGAGUGAUGACAGAGAUGGAAAUCUGACAGAAUUGGUUCUUCAGAAUGAAAUGAAGAUUGAACAGCUGACCAAAGACUGGAGCGAUAAGUGGACUGACAGGAAAGUCAUAAUGGAAGAAUACAGUGUGGACAUCAACAAAGAAAAAGCUGGAGUGACAAUAGAUUCCAAUUUACCUCAUUUAAUGGCAGUGAAUGAUGAUAUCCUCAGUACUGGAGUUGUGCUUUAUCAUCUCAGGGAAGGAACAACCAAAAUUGGAAGAUGUGAUUCAGACCAGGAGCAGGAUAUUGUUCUGCAGGGUCAAUGGAUUGAAAGGAACCAUUGCAUUAUAGACAACAAGUGUGGGAUUGUGACACUGCGGCCAAUCCAGGGAGCAUAUUGUACUGUAAAUGGACAGGAAGUCACUGGUGCUUGUCGUCUGUCACAAGGAGGUCUUGUUGUCCUGGGCAAGGCUCAUAAAUUUAGGUUCAACCACCCAGCAGAGGCUGCCAUUUUAAGACAAAGAAGAUUGAUUAGUGAAGUCUCCACCGUAUUGAGCAGCAAAUCUUUGGAAUGGCUGGACUUGGAUGGAGAUUUCACUCCUUCCCCUCCCUAUAUCUUUUCUCCACUUGAAAAAGAAAGUCAAAAGCAUAUAGGCCAUGAGGAGUGCAAACAUUCAACUGAAAUGAUGAGCAGAGAGAGAGAUUCUGUGCAUGAAGAGUACAAGCAGAAGCUGAGAGAUCAGGAAGCUUUCCACAGGGAACACAUUCAACAGCAGCAGCUCUACGUUGAGGAUUUAAAGCAGCAGAUCCUGGCAGGACAGAUCAAAGCAGAGCGGGAACUAGAAUAUGACCAGGCACUAAUCAACCAGCAGAUCAGAGAAAACCAACAGUGGCUUAAUGAGAAGAAACAACUUGCUUCCCUCCAGCCGCAGCAGAGGGAGUUUGCUGUACAGACAGAGUCUAAGUCGUAUGUAGAAGCUGAAGUGCAGAAUACUGUGGAUUUGGAGAUCUGUCCUUCCCUGGUAGAGCAGAACAGGAAGAGACUGGUACAGCUGGAGCUUUUGCGGAGAUACUCUUUAAAGAAAGCAGAAAGAAACAUAAGGCGGAAAAAGGUCAAGUUCCAGUUGGAGAGGAUUAUCAAGAAGCAAAAAUUACUGGAAGCCAAGAGAAACCUAGAGCAGCUAGAGGCCAGCUGCUGGCUCAGUGAGGAUAACCUGAAACAGUCCCAAGUCCUGAACCAAAAUACCACAAUUACCUCCUGGGAUUACAAGUUGCAAAGGAGAAGCAAGUCAUUGGGUUCAAGUUCCUUGCAACACAGAAGACAUUCUUUUUGUAAUCCUUACCCACCACAUGUACCCAUUUACAGCUCUUUUCUGAAGAGGGAGACCACCUCUGAAUUAUCUACCUCACCAAAUACCUAUAAAUGCCAUGAAGGCAAUGCACCAUGGAAAACGCUGUCUCUAGAAUAUCUACCCAGAACAAUUAAAGACAAUUCCAGGGGAGAUUACCUUAAUGAAGAGAGGUAUAGGUCCUUCGCAACACAGAGACAGCUAACUAAAAAACAAAAGACAUCACUGUUUGGAAAUAAAAAAGGAGCAGAAAAAGACUGUAAUGGUUCAGUUAUCAUAUUACAUAUCAACAAAGAUAAUAAAAAAAUGGAAAAAUUAGAUGAUAGACUUGUACAAACUGAACCUCAAAGCCAGACCUCUAAGAACCUCUCUUCCGAUCAGCUUAAGAAGAAAGGUGAACUCGAAACCUUUAUUACAGGGACACAAGUGACCAAAGUGAAGGUAUUAGGAGAUUCAAGUCAGCCUACAGGGAGACAGCUAGAAGAAAGUGAAGCCCAGGCAUUUCAUAAAAAGUCUAGAAUGGAUUUAAGAGGAGAGCGCCAAGAUUCACUUCCAGAAAGCUUUACUAAGGAAGUGAAAAAAUCAAUAGUGCGUGGAAAGCCACCAUCAGGUUAUCUAAGUCAAACAGCAAGGAACUUGAAAAGAGAGCCAAAGUCAUCCUUGCCAAGUCAUGAUAGGCAGUUAGUGGAAAAGCAGGAGUUUCUGAUGACCGCUACUUCAGUAGGAAACCUUAAUAAGAUAAACAUCCAGACACCACUCCGUUACAUUGAAAAAAAAUGGCACAGUGCUGAGGUGUUGAGUGUUGGAAUCUCAAAAACAGCCACAGAUCUGCUAGGGAACUGGCAAGAGGAUGAUGAAAAUGACUUUUCUGAUACUGAUAGUUCCUACUCUGUGGAUUCUCUCUCCUGUGCUUAUGCAAAAGCCUUGACUGAGCAACUGAAACAGGAAGAUUCAGACAGGAAUAAAUGUAUCACCAACCCAGAAGAUUCUGAAAGUGAUGAUAGUCAGAUGUCUCAAGACUCUCUGGUAGAAAAAGAAAAUAAAGCCAAAAAACGAAGUAAAAAACGUUUUCACAAAUUAGUGGUUCACCAAGAGCCAGUUAAGUUUUACAAAGACAGAUACGAUCACCAUAUCUCACCUUUGGUGACCUCAUCCACAUCACGCAGUGGAUUGGCAAAGACUGAAAGAAGCUUUUCUCUGGAUAGCUUAGCUGAUGCAGAAGAGGUGUUAGCAGAAGAUCUGGUAGAAGAAUCCAAAUCUGAUUCAUCUGAUGAAGUGCCUGCAGAGAUAUUUUGGAGGCUGCAGAGUCCUAGGUCCCCAGCCAUACAGACUGAGGAAUACCAGAAGCCUGGAGCCUGUGAUAAAGAUGUAAAAGGAACAAAUUAUGAUCUAAAACAGAGCAGUUCUUUUUAUCUGGGUACUCAAACACCGUCCAUUUGCAAUAACACUUGCAAACAGCCAUUAAAAGAGAUGAAGGUUUGUUUUGUAGAACAAGAAGGGUUGCUUGAUCAAAGACUUAAUUCUACAGGUGGAAACCCUUUGACGCUCAUUGAUGCUUUGUCUUCAUAUGACUCCAAAAGUGAAAUCAGCAGCCCCAGAAUAGCUGUACCUUCUUUUCAUAAAAAUUUACAAUUUUGUGGUGCUCAUCUGAGCAAGCUGGAAUGUUGGAUGAAGAAAGAUGACCUAAAGCAGUCAGCUGCUGAAGUAUCUUUUGUCUCUGGCUAUAAGCAGUUACAGAGUAUUUCUCAUUUAUCACAUGGUGUAAAUGAGAUAAAUGCAACUUUCUCCUCUGAUGGAUCAGAAAUACCAUUACCAGAAACAACACAUUUUGAGAUAGAUGAAAACAAAGUUCCUGAGAGUGGAUCUUUAUUAAGUAAGAUGGUCAAAGAAAAUGUAAAUUCUGAUGAAAAUUCUGUCUUAGAAUCUCAAGAUGUUAGGUCAUUGUUUGUCAGUUCAAUAGGACCGAGUACUUCAUGUGUCCCCAUUUCAGCAUUGUCAGCAAAACGUGGUUAUUAUGAAGAUGUCAAGUCAGUUCAUUCUAAACACAAACAGCUUACUGUAUCAUCUACUUAUGGAUCUACUGUUGAAUACACACAACAGCAUAGCUGUUUGAAAAAAACCUCUGUGACAGAUUGUUUGUUACCAGUAUCUGGAAAAGAAGAGGGCUCUCUCCCCACAAUUUAUCCUGAACUGCCCAAGGAUCAGGAUUCUAAAAAAAUAUCAUUAAUUUCAACACCAUCUACAUAUGUUUUACAGCAGAGAAAUGAUCAUGGAGAUUCUGAUUUAGAAGAUAACUUCUUUAGAACUAUUGAAAAAGAAGACACGGGUAAUGAUUGUGAUAAUUUGAUAACGGAAUCAAAACCAUUAGAUUCAAACUCUAGAGAUGCAUCUGUCAAUGCAGCUGCCAGUGGAUUGUCUAAAGGGCUGUGUCCUGAUACAGCUUCAAUACCCACAGUAGGAACAUCUUCAGAAAAACAGGGAAUAUAUGAAAAACAUGGUCAGCUCUUUGCAAAAGAAGGAACAUCAACAUCCUGUGAUGAGGGUUUCUUUCUCCGUGACAUGUCAAACAAGAAUAGGAAUACUGGUAUAAAGAAAAGUUAUACACUUCAGACUUCUGUUGAACAAGGAGAAAAUUCUGCUGGUAAAGUAGGUCUACUCAGUUACAGGGGGAAUAAUUUUAAAUCUGUGCAGAAGAUUGAUUACCAACAGUUGUCUGCGGGAGAAAUAACCAUAGACAAAGAUUUUUCUUCUGAAAGAAAACCCUGUCACACUGGUCCUGCAGCCUUUCCCCAGGAUGCUAGUUAUGACCAAUUCACAACAUCAAUAGACACUUUUCAGAAAGAGUUGGUCUGUAAUACAACAAGUAGAGAUAUCCUAAUUGAAACUGCCUUGGAGGCCCCUUCAUUCAGAGAUACUGAAAAAUAUGAACAGAAGGAGGAAAAUCUGUGUUCACAAAAUAAUUGUGAAAUUCAAAGGAAAAUUGUUUUAAAGAAUGAUUUUCUUGAAAGUUCACAGGCUGACAAUCCUGAAAGUUGCUUAUCCCUACAGGUUUUGGGAAACACCACAUUAUGUCCUGAGACUAUAAGAAAAGAAAGCAGUGAAAGUAAAGAAAAACAUAAUUUGAGUUCUCACCCUGUAGGCCAGGAAAGGUCUUCAUCCAAAUAUAGAAAUUUGGUGGUAGAUGAAUUAAGAUACCUUAAUGUGAAUUUAAAUGGAAAAAACACUGAGCUCUCAACUGCAGCUACUUGUGAAAUUAGAGAUGAAUCCACCUCACAGGCCAACUCAAGUGAAUUUUACUAUGACACAGCAAAAACUAAUCUUUUCCUACGUGCUUCUGAAGCUGAGAAAUAUAAUACACAACUGCAGGAUCUUACAGCAAUUAAUGAAAUUUGUGAUACCAGAUCUAAUCUCAGUAUAGAAAACAAUGUCGAAAAAAGUUGUUGUUCUGAAACUAAUUCUAAUUGCCUCUGCACAAUGUGCUGCUUAAAAUCUGAAGAGCAGAAAAACAAUAUGUAUAAAAAGGCUUUUGAAGGUCUUGUGGGAUAUGAUGCAGCCAUUCUCUCUGAUGAUACUCAGACCAAGAACAAAUCCUUUCCUGAAUCAAGAGAAGAGAGUGAAACUGCUUUUUCUUGUAUGGUUCAUACUGAAAGUGAUUUCUCAGGAGAGGUUUUGUUUGUUGGAGGAACCAGUAAUUAUGUAAAACCAAACUCUGGAGAAGUGCUUGAACACAAUACAAUUAUAUCAGACACUGCUUUCCAAGAAGGGAGUCCAAGUGUGAAUAACAAAUCUGAAUGCACAAAGAAGGCAGCUGAUCCUGAAGAUGAAAUUAUCCUGGAAGAGACUUUGGUUCCCUAUCAGAGUAAAAAAGUAAACACCACUGAAGAAAUUGCUCAACUGGUUAACAGUGUCAUCAAGUUGGAAAGCAAUAUUUUGGAAAUUAAAGCUAGACAGACUGAAACCUUACAUAACUACUCUGUAGUUGAAGCCCAAUGUGAUAUUGCAGAAAGGAGCAAAAAUAAUUUGGAAAACAAAAGUCUGGUUCAGAGAUCAAAAGAUCCCAGUGAUCUUGUGGCUUGCAAAGAUCACCAUGUGUUUUACAAAAAGCUGCACACAACAGUACUGCAUGAAGAGGCAGAGAAAGAAGAAUCGGGUGUAUAUAGUGUUGGUGGUGUAGGACACACUGAUGAAUCAAAAACAGUGGAGAUUUCUGACAGCUGCAUUCAGACAAGUAGCUGUCAUGAAAAUAAAAGGAAAGCAAACAUGGAAAUAAAUUAUUGUUCAACAGAGACUGAAGCUGCUUCUAAAAGCAUUCCUUCCUCACUGCGUUCCAGCUCAUCGGAUUUCUCUGAGAAUACUAUAGGCUUCCUUGAUACUUAUGAGGAGUUGAAGCAGACUAAUAGAAUAAUAGAAAAUGUGUUGAAUACUGAAAGCAUAGCCAGAACAAUACCAGGUAGUUGUGGAGAAGAGAACUCUUUAGAAAACAGUGAAAAGGAACAAAAAAAUGCUUCUAGCAAUACAAGUGAAAUUUGUAUAACAGACUGCUUGGUGAUGGCCCAUCAGAACUUUUUUCAACAAAACAGAGUUGAUGAAAGCAUAACUAACUCCAAAAUGAUUGGGAGUGAGGAACAAACUAAUGUAAAAGACCAUGAGAUGUUGGUUAGCACAGGGAGAGGUGAACUGCACACAAAUGUAAAUGUUGUUUCAUUUACACAAGAGACUCCAGCUCUAGAUCAGAUGUAUUCUGACACAGACAACAGUGAAAAAUUUAUAAUUGAAUCUGAGAUCCCAGAAAGAUACUUUACAGCUUCCAAACUAGAAGAACAAGAUGUUUUGUCAGUUGAUACUUCAAGGUUAACAGGAGGUAGCCAUGAUGCAAUUGAAAAGAAGGGCAAGACAGGUAUAAUGAAUAAAUUGGUGGAAGACAUCAAUAACUGUGACAGUUCAGCUGAUGAUAGUGAGCAAAAUGUAAUCAGAGGAAAAUCUGGAAGACUUAUUAAAGAGAAUAGCAAUACAGAUAAGAGUUCUUAUACCGACUAUCCCGAGUGUGGGGUGUCUGAAGGUUUGGAUGUAAAUUUUAUUGGAAGCAGACCUGAUAAUUUUGAAUCUGAUCCAAUGCGCUUCAUAGCACAAGAGAAGGAGAAAACGCAUCUGAUAAAUCUGGUACAAAUGGCUAAAGCAGAUGUAAUAAAUGAAAGUUUGAAAACAUAUAAUGCGUCUGUUUUUAGAACAGAUGAAGAAAGGAAGGCUUUCAAAGAAAACAUUGAGAGUCGAGAACUGACUGCUUCACAAAAUCAAAAUGAAGUUCCACCUGAAAACAAAGGCAGCCACCAACUGACAAAUAAUAAAUUAAAUGAGAUCUUAAAAGAAAGUCAUUGGGUAUCUAAAGAUUGUUCUAGAAAUGAUGCCAAUGAUUCCUCAGUACGUAAUAAACAACAGCGUACCCCAGAAACUAUAAAGUCUUCUGAAGAAACUCAACAGUAUUUGCUUAAAGUCUUUCCAUGUCAGUCUGUAAAUCAUCCUUUAUAUUUUGGAAUAAAUAACAGCACAGAAGUUGUGCAGGAUGAUCCCACUGUGUUAAGAGGACAUGUAAAGUCAUUUAAUAGCAAUGCAGGUACGGGAGUUGUUCUUCCUUAUUAUGAAACAUUAAUGGAGAACGAUGUGCAUGUUGGAGCACCCAGUACGCUUAACAAAGAGAGACGAGAUGAAUCAUUUUCUGAUAAAAUGCAAAAUAAAGACUGUGAUUUUCUGCAAAGCAUGAUCAUGCAGAACAAGCAGAGGGAAGGACACUUUGUAUUAAACAACACAUCUAAUUAUGCAGUAUCUGAGCAAUUUCCUGAUAAGGAUGACAUAAAUUCAACUUCCUCUAUUGCAAGGUGUCAUGAAUCCAUAAUUGUUACACCUAGUCAAGGCACAAAAAAUAAUUCAGUUUCCCUAGGAAGGUUAGAUUCUCCUGAAGAUAUAAUUCAAAAUGUGAGCAAUUCUGACACAGAGCACAGUACAGGCUUAAGUGUGGGAGGAAAAUCAAAAGUUCGUUUUAAUUCCUUAGAUGAUAUAGUUCAAGAAGGAAGUAUGGCUGCAUCAAUGGCUGUGUCUGGUCCACAGACUUCAGAUAAUGAAAAUCUGCUUUCCUCUUCAAUGUUGAAUGAUAAUGCUAUGAAAGAGAAAAGAAAGCAAUCACUACCAGCGGUCUGUUCUCAGAAAGCUUUUCAAAAUAUUAAUAUAAGUCAGAAAGAAUUAGCACAAUGCAAUCAGACAGAGAAAUGUUCAGCUGCAGACUAUAUUAAAACAGACUAUAGAAGUAAUAGUGAAAGGAUUCCUGAUGUAUUUGGUUAUCAAACUGAACCCAGUGAGAUUCAGGCAUACAGGGCUUCUAGAGAUCUUUGUGUGGGAUAUCCAGACAACUCUGCAGUUGCUUCUGAGACCUUUUUAGAAAGUAUUAAUCAACCCUUGUGGAAAAAUGCUCAUUAUGACGAACACUCUGCAAGAUAUAAUAUGAAUUCUUGUGUUUCUAAAUAUUCUGGUGGUCUGCUGAAGAAUAGCCCUGCUACACUUGCAAAUGUGUUGGUAGACAACAGAGAAGACAAAUGUAAAAUUGAUGCUGUUUGUUUUGGAAAAACAAAAUACUUUGAAAGUGAAUCAUUAGAUUUGGAUGUGCCUAUACUUGUUUCUGAUGAUCUCUCUGUAAAUCAGAAAGAUGAUGAAAGCAAAAUUUGUUCUGUAGUUGGAAAGAGAGAGAGAAGAAACACACAGCAUGAUGAAAUCACUAAAGAGGUCAUUGGAGUAGAUCAAAAGCAAGAACAAAGUCAAGAUUCUUUCCAGAUUUGCCAUGGUGUAAAAGAAAAAAUAUUGUGUUUAUACCCAGAAGACUAUAUUGGUAGUUCUGGCAUGAAACUACCAGAGAAGAGCUUGCUUACAUAUCAAAGUCUUGAACAAAUUAGCAAUAAGGAAACAAAAUCUCUUACCUUAUGCACUGUGGAAGAUGUUCCAGCUUAUACAACAUUUCAAAGUUCCAACAAUCUUAGUACCUUUGAAACCUCUAAUUUGCCAGAAGACUCCAAAUCUCUGAAAUUUAGGCAGCUUGAUGACUCAUUGCAAGACAUUUCUUUGACUGACCGGUUGUCAUCUACUUUUACAAAUCCUCAUUCUCUACAAGAAAGACAAGAGAGAGAGUUUCCUCGAGCAUUUCCAAAAGUUUCUUACCCAUCAUUAAAAAUGUUUUCAGAAUAUCCUCUUACUGCUGACAUUGGUUACAAUGAAACUAGCAGAUACGAUGUUUCACAUACAACUACUUCAAACUGUUCUGCGUUUGAUAUAGUUCAAAUGCAAGAGAGUCAAUCUGAUGAUGCUGUGAUAUUUGACCAGCAGCCAUCUGCUUCAACAAGUAUUGUACUUUCUCUUACAAAAGAAAAGGGACAUCUCCCAGUAGCUGAUACAAAAUCUACCUCUCAAGGAUAUCCUGCUGAAGAUGGAAAAUCAAUACAUAAAAGUAACUCUGAACAACUCAACAAUGAAACAGAAGUUGAUAAACAACCCUGGGAUAAAGUUUCGCUACAACAAGCAUUUUUCGAAAACCUAAGGAAAGUAGAAGAUGAUGUUUCUAUGCCAUCAUCAUUAGCUGUUGGGGAUGCUAGAAGAGCAACUCUUAAUAAAGAAGAAAAUAUGAGAGAGAGAAUUAGCAGAAAUGAGAAGGCACUUCCUGCAACAGACAGGAAGCAGAGAAGAACAUUUUUAAGAAAAGAUCCUGUUGAAAAUCAAACCAUAGCAUCAUCAGUUUUUGCUAAUGAGUUCAUGGACCCACAAAUUACAAUAUUGCAAAACCCAUGUUCAGGAAACAUUAGUGUGGAUUCCAGGUACAUGUUCAAUCUGUAUGGGCGAGUAUGUCCCACAGAUAACAAUGCUGCUGAUCCCAAAGAAACAUAUCACGCUGCCUCAAAUUCAUGUGCAGAUUUACAAGACAAUGGGCAGGUUGGGCAUGCCAGGGAAAAAGAUCAAAGUAGAGCAAAUGUAAGCAGUGGAAAAGAUAUGGUACAUUGCAAAAAUAAUGCAUAUUCAAAUGUUGAUAGUCCUGACAAUUCUCAGAUAGUGGCAGAUAAUAUAAUGAAGAUUAAGCGAAAGACUUCAAAAUCAGAAAGGCUAAAUCUUUCUGUCAUGAAAAAUGAGAAUACAUCCUUCAAAAUGUUACCAGAAAACAAUUGUUUGCCUCCACAGGAACCCAAGUUGGUAUUACUUAGGAAUGAAAAAUCAUACUUUACUGCACAAAAUACAAAGCAUUGCAGACAAGAUGAACAAAGAAAUUGUUUACAGAAUCACAUAUUGUCAGCCCCAGCUAUUUCUGCAAUCUCUGAUCUUGAAUACACUUCAGAAGUUUCGUCUAAGGCACAUCUUUCUUUGUAUCCUGCCUCUAAAUCUUUACAAGAAUUGAAUAUGAGUGUUGAGCCUCCAUCUCCAACUGAAGAUGAUCUUCAUGGAAUUGAAAGAUUUUCAAAAUUGGAGUCAGAUAAUUUCAUACUGGCUAAAUAUAAACCUAGAUUGCAGCAGAGAUUGGUACAAACUCAGAGACUUGCUAAUUAUGAUCCAAAAAGCUCACAAAACUAUGGGGAGAGAAGCCGAGGCAGCAAUUCCUUAGAGCCCUCUGCUAUUCACUAUUCAACUGCUUUGGCACAUAGAGCUGGUCGUUCCAUGGAUAUAGAAGUAAAAAAACAUUCAGUUAAUACUUCUUUACCACAGUGCAAUGAAGAGACAAUUGAAGAAUUGAGAGAUCAACCAGAAGAAACAGAUUUAUUUUUACAGGACAAUAAAGAUGCAAUGCAUUUUAGUUCAAGUGAUAUCAAUCCAUACAUUCAUCCAUGGCAGCAAGAUGGACUCUGCAAGAUUGGUUGGAAGCAGUAUGUUUUUGGUAGUGCAAGUGAUGUCUCUUGCAGUCAGCCUCCUCUAAGCCUGGAUAAUCAUAAGGUUAUGAGAUGCUCCAGUGUGGAUAAUGGACUGAACUCUCAAAACUCCCCUUUUCACUCUCAUCUCAGUUCUUAUGCUAAUGCAAAAGUACUAUCAAGCACUUUAAGCAGCAUUGAAGACCCCCAGGGAUGGGAUGAUGUGAGACAGGGCUUUGAAUCUACAUAUUCAAGUGACAACAGCAAGCAUUAUGUAAAUGUAUCCAGUGAGAUACUUGAAACAACCCCCAAAAACAGAAUUUCAACAUUUGAGAAUCCUUCUGAGCAACCUGGAAACACUUCCAUGCAAGUUGAUGAAAUUGUACUCCUCUACCCUUCUGAGUCAGAAACAGCCUCCAAAAAAACACAAGGCAUUACUUGUGAGCAGGGAACACAAACAAUGGCUACAGGAAGGUAUAAAAGACAGAAAAGGCACCGGAGAAGUUAUACAGAUGUUUCUGCAAGAAAACAAGAUGCAAGUAGGAGUUCAUUUCAGCGACCUUCUUCUUGGACGAGCAUGCAGAAUCUGUCCAUCCACCUAUCGCAGCUUCUUCAUAACACUUCCGAGCUGCUGGGAAACCUCUCCCAACAGAAUGUUAUAGAUAACGAGCAGAAUGCCAAAAUCAAUCAAAGAGGAAUUGCUGAAGAGAUUGUAAGGGCUGCUAUGUCAGACAGUUGUACUCAAACUACAGGAGAUGUAGGCGUUCAAGCUGAUAGUUCAGAACAUCCACAAAGCAAAAACAAAGAAAAUCUAUUGCAGGCAACAAUUGAAAAUGAAUUGAUGAAAGCUCAGGAAGUGAAUGUGAUUGUGAAAGUGGUAGGUUCAGAUACUGUAUGUAGGUCUCAGGAAAAGAAAGAUGUAGGUCUGACUAUUCAAGCGAGAACUCCAGAAAGCAUUGAAAUGAGAAUGCAGAGCAUGCCUGACUUCAGUGACUCUGCUGCUAAUAUUUUGGGAGAUUCCUUUAUGCAUCUGCCUUCAUUAGCCAGAGCCUCCACUCCUAUUUUAGAUUUUCAGAAACCACCAUUCAGCACACAGCAGAAUGUUGCUUUUGGCAGUCCCACAGUUUCUCCUGUUGUAUCAUCUUCACUGAGUUCAGGACAAGAUGAAUCUUCAUGCACAGUAGUUAGCAGCUCUACUUCUAGUACAUCUCAAUCUCCAGCACAUUACGUUCAGGAUAAGAGAACUGUUGAUGAAUCUGAUAUUGCAGUAGUAAGGAAGCUAUGUUAUAAAAACACUUUAUUAGUUGACAGAGCCUCUUCCCCUAUUCUAACACUUAGUGCAAAUCCAAGCAACCAGGUUACCUGUAGCAAGUCCAUUUGGUCUAUCAAGGGAUCUGUGGAACAUCCUCUUGAUACUUCAAGUUCCUUUAAUCAAAGAAAGCAAGGAUCACGUUCUGGCUUGGGCACCUUGGAGCCUCAUGUAGACAAUUCUUCACAAACAGAAACAGACAAUGAAUCUACCACUUCUAGAAAUAGCAAGGAAGUGAGCAAGAAAUCUGGAAGUUUCUCAGAUAAGAACACGGCUAAAGAGUUCUUAGGAAUAGGUGUUUCAAAAGAAUUGAAGGAAAAGCACAGAUUCACUGUUGACGCGCACACUACAAUUCGUGCAAAAAGACUGUAUCAUUCAAGUAGCACUUUAGAGGUUUCUGGCCAUGGGGAAUAUCUAGUUGAUGAUCUCAAAGAGCACAUUCCAAUGGAACGUUCACUACAUUGUAUGUAUGCCACCAGAAGAGGAAGAGGCUCUUCAGGAAGAAUCAGAUAUGACAAAACCACUGGAAGUUCUGAUGCCUCUUUGAUUAAAAACCACUCUCAGACUUCUUAUGUUGAGGAAUGUAGACAUUCCCCUCCAAAUUCUGACUUGCUUUUUAAUCAAGAAAUUAGCACGUGUUGGUCAAGCAAGACAAAUGCUGAUGGAUCUCCAGAACAUCAGAUAGAAGCCUCUUCUGCACAGUUCCACCAUUCCUUUUGGAAAAAUAGAUGCCCUUUUCCACUUUCUAAAAUGAGUGACAUGCAUGUACCCCUUCAAGAUGAUGAUACAGCAUCGGCUUCUACAAGUGAAUGUAAUACUGAAAUUCUACUAAACGAGAAUGACUCCUUAGUGAAUACACACAGGCCACGAAGCUAUAGUCUUCGUGACUUGCCCCUACACAAUAAAUUUAGCAACUGGUGUGGAGUGAAGGGCAGUCCUCCAUCCUCAAUAAUUAGCUUGACUGGCAGUGCUGCUGAUUUACAAAAUCAAAUGGAAAAGAAGCCAGUCAGCAAACAAGCAACUGAAACAGAAGUGAAAUCCCAGCCUUGGGAAAGUAGAACAAGAGAAAUUGAGAGACUUCGAAGAGAGCGUGCCCAGAUUAUGUCUGGCAUACAUCUGGAUAUGAAGCAGCACCCUCUUACUGUAGAGCUUACUGAAGCAAAGCUGAAUUAUGGAAUUGGGGAAACAGAUGCACUGCUGAGAAUUCUUCAGAAUGGAACAGGGGAGGAUCUGACUUCAGUUCCCAUAAAGCAGCAACUUUAUGAAAGGCACAUGAAGACAAUCGAAGCCCUGAGAAAGCAGAGGGAGGAAAGGCUGCAGAGCUUUAGGAGAACCCGCAGUCUCAGUCCACAAAAGCAUCUGAGCCUGUUGCAGAUGUUGGACACAAACCAGCGGGAUCUGGAUCUCCCCAGCAGACGCCGAGAGUACCUGCAGCAACUGAGAAGAAAUGUAGUAGAAAAUACUAGAGUCCAAGAACCACAGAGGAGGAUUGCCCAGUAUCCUUCAGAGAUUGAACUACUACUCCGAGACUAUCAGAGGGCACGAGAGGAGGCCAAGACUGAAAUUGCAAGAGCAAGGGACAAACUUCGGGAGAGAGCUGAGCAAGAAAAGAGACGUAUACGAGAGCAAAUAUUUUCUCAUCUACAGAAGGAAGAAGCAAAGCUGAAGACACUUGUAAGCACAAGCACUUUAUGUACAGAUUCCAGCCUAAGUCUUUCCUCUGGCCCAACAUCUGGUUAUAACAGCAGCAACGCUGCUACUUAUGCUGCAAAUAAACUCAGCAAACAGGAAGCACUGAUUUCUCCUGGAAGUGCAGAGCUCCCAAGAGGAGAUACAAGAGGUCGCUCAGCUGUUAGAAAUAGUCAACUUUAUGUGUUAGAGCAACUACAAAAGAAUUCAGCAUGUGAGAGCAGCAGAAAUCAGUCACCACUUCCAUCUGCUAGCAUCAGCCAUAAGUUCCGUCCUGGACUAACUCUUUCAGUCAGCUCCUCUCCUACAAAAGAAUACCAGGAUUUGUCCAAACACAUUUUGGAUAAUGCUAUCACUGAGGUUAUGGCAGCAUGUUCAAAUAACCUGAGGAACUUUUACAACUGCCAGGCAGCAGCUGGUUGGAAAUACCAGUGUACAGAAAAAGAGGUACUGGUUUAUUACAAAGUCUUCCCAUCAGCAACUAAGCAUGGGUUUUUGGGAGCUGGAGUGAUUGAAAGACCUCUUCCCAAUGUGUGGUGCAUGGUGAAAGACCCUGGCAAAAGGCAUCUAUAUGACAAAACCAUUAACACAGCUCAAGUACAUAAGAAAGUAACGAGCCAUAUUCAGCUGGUAUAUUUGGUGAGUGAUACUUCAUUGUGUUAUCUAAAGCAACCACGGGAUUUCUGCUGCAUCACGGUAGAGGCCAAAGAGGAAAACUUGUCGAUUUUAGCUAUUCAGUCUAUCUAUGAUGAGUCCAUGCCUCGUCCUUGUAAAGAAAUGGUACGAGGGGAGAUUCUACCAAGUGCUUGGAUAUUGGAACCUGAUCGAGUAAAUGGAAAAGACAUCACCAGAGUCAUUUACAUGGCACAGCUAUUAUAAACAAAAUGCCAGAAUGUAAAGAAUGAGAUUGAAAAUAAUACAAUUCCAUUGUAAUACACUGCCAUUAUGCAAGACCUCAUUGAGAGUAUGAUGUUCAUUUCAGCCCCUAUCUCAAGCAGAAGGGGACCAGAGCCAGGUGAUGAAAGUCGAUCUUGGCGCCCCAGCUAUCCCUGCACGGCUUCUGAGCUCCAUUGUUAAGCAGCAGCCUCUGGUGAUUGCUAGGCUAGCACAUUUUUUUGCUAGUUAACAACAGAACCAGACACAGUUACAGUGGGAGAAAGCUGCUAAGUACCAAGGAAUAGAUGUGAAAGUCUUUAUCCUCCUCACAGACAAAGUAAAAUUUUGGCUUAGAAAACAUGUCCCACUUCAGAACUGGAGAUGAGAAGCAACAGGCUAACCAGCCAUGGGCAAAGCUAUUACUGAAACAAACAAAUGGAAGACCAUCAGCUGCAGGAAUCACUGUUCAAAGAGUAAACAUUCCUGGGGUACCUGUCCUUACCAGAGGUAGGUCCCUAACUGCACUUGCUGUUCAGUAGUGGGAAAAAGUGCUGCCUGUAGAAGUUCUGUCAGCAAAGGCAGAGAGCACUCACCUUGCAAGCAAUCAACAUCUAUAUGUAGAAAUCUGCUUGGGUGCAAAAGGCAGGUUACAGCUAUUUCAAAGUGCAAUCCUUCCUUCUCCACUGCUUGUUUUUCUUCCAAGAAAAAAGAAGUGAUGUAAGAGUAUAUCAUGGCCAGAGGCUUUUUACAAGCCCUUAUAUAGAGAAACAAAUCUGUUGUAAUGCUCCUUGUAGCAUCUGACAAGAAUGAUGCUUACAGAUGGAGGCUUCAUAAUAAACAUUGUAGAUAAAGUCAGCUUGCCCACCUGGAGGAGUCACUUCAUCUUGGCAAGGUUAAAAUGUUAACAGCAUGACAAACUAAUCAUUCUACACCCCGCUUGAAUGAAGAUCUAGAUCCAGUAUAUCAAAUUGUCACUAUUCAGCAACAGUGGCAAAAAAAAAAACAUACCUCAGGAGACACAAUUUAUUAGUGCUCUAUUACACGAUCAUUGUAAUGUAGAAUUAGGUGCUUUGAAGUGGAGAAACCAAAUUGACAGUUGUAAAGCAAGACUAUUUUUUUUUUUAAAUAGGGAGUAGAACUGAUGAUUCAAGUUGUUUAUAGAAUUAAAAUCCUGCAAACAUGAAAAGUUUAGCUUUGUCCUGAUGGCUGUUCCAUUCUUUUUCUCACCUGUACCAACCAGAUUCUCUAGCCUGUGACAUUGGCUACAAUGAGACAGUUGCUGUUCACAGUUCCCUUGUAGCAUUCCUAAUGAGCUCAUGACUGGGAGAAACUCUCCAGCUGAAUUUUGUCUGAAACUCCUACUUUAAAGCUAUAUAUACAGAAAACCCUCUUUCUAUAAAAUUCAGUCAUGAUAUUCUUUUAAAAAUAAUUAAGGGACUAGGUUUCAUUGAGCUGUAUUAUUAUUAUUUUGGGUAACGCUCUUCAACAUUGCUAUAGCAGAGAACCACUUAAGGCAUUUUAUUGCUUGAAAGGGGUAAAGGUCCCUGCUGUCCAAGGUAGUACUGCACUUUAAAUGUGAUGAAUGGGUAUCUAUAUCAAGCAUCUAACUUCAACAUGGUACCUAAGGCUGGUUGUCUAAGUUAAGAAAAACAGCCAUGAUUUUCCCCCCCUAACAAGUCCAGUGCACCUUUAGAAUCUGAGGGCUAAAGUCUGCUUUCAGUUUAACUCUGCAAUCCACCUACUUCACUGAGGUUGCACAUGCCUAACGGGGCAGAAUUCAGUCCUUAAGCAUAGUAAAUUAGACACCCAUUUGUGUCAAAUGGUCCAGAAAAUUAAAGUAAAAUAUUCAGAUCAAAUCGUUGUUCUGGUGUGACAGGGAUGAGUGAGUGCUUAGCACCUACUCAACCACUGUUGCGUUUAAUUCAUUAAUCACUCACCUGCCAGAGAAAACAAAUUCCAGAAAUAGCUUUCAGCAAGUGACAAACCCCCACGCUGCACUCCCCAAUGUUUAAAGGGAUAACAACCCAUUUCCUUCUUUCCACUAAAAAAAGCCAUCGUAUAUUGACUUGGGGGUGGACUUGGUUCCUCCUCCUGGCUCUAAGUACCCCAGAACCCUUUGAUUCAGACUUAGCAGUAGCUACAGCACAUUGCAAUCGGGAAAGUGCCAAUAAGCUAUUUUAUUGCAGCUAGACAGGGAAAGGUAUGAAACCUUCAUAUAACCCAUAAAAUAUUUGCUGUUUAAGUGAAAGGUUUGCUUGUUUUCCAUUAUUUUGGACAUGGCACUCUGUUAAUGACAAAGCAAUAUUUACAGGAACAACAUCUAGGACGACUCAAGGAGGUCAACAGUGACAGUGCCUAUUGAAAGAUAAUGUCUUAUUGUACAGUGCAUCAGAUGUUUAUUUUUAUAAAUGCAUAUGAUUGUUUUUUUCUAUGUUUACAAAUUAAGUUAUUUAUAUAUAUAUGCUUAUUUUGAAGUUUUAUAUGCUGAUGAAGUUAAUUUUUAUUUUUACUGGUAUUCAAUUAAUAAGCUUUUUUUAAAUACAAUUGUCAAUUGAUACUAAAUAGCCCUAUUUAUACAGAUGUUUUCUUUUGCAAAUAUAACAACAUUUUAUGAUACUGUUAAUGUGUGGGAUUGGUUUGUUUAGAAGAAAAGUGGGACAAAAGCUAGCUGAUGUAUUUGUUAUCAAGACAAGGCAAAAACUUCCUGUCAGUAUUUUACUAUCAUUAUAGCAGUAGAUUUGAAUGAUAGUGAAUCAAAUCAAUUGUACUGUAUCUCUUAUCCCAUCUCACUCAACAAGGAUUGCUAUUUUCAUAUCCAUAAUAAAUAGUAUUUUCUACAUAGAGAAAACGCCCCAACUGACAUUCAUUGUCUUAACAUGCUCUGUCUACUCAGUCCUUCACAAAAUGUGAGAGUUAAUGGUCAUUAAAAUGAUUUAGGAAAUAACCAAAAGGCUUACUUGAUGAUAAAAUUCUGUAGGGCAUCCAUACAACACCCUCAAAUUAUAGAAGUUAAUAAGUAAUUUCUCAUUAAUCUAAUUCUCUAUAAAAAAUAUAAACAGCACAAGACAUUUGCAGUUCCUUCAAAGCAUUAUUAUAGCUUUUUCCAUACAAUACAAUGCCUAGCUGUUAAUUUGGAGAUAUUGAAGUCAGCACUGAGUCUUGUUCAGACUUCUCAAGAUGCACUUUAGAGUAUCAACCCUAACAACUUCCUAGCUGACCUCCACCUGAGGAGUAGCUAAUUUUCACAAUUUUUGGAUGGUCACUGCUUUCUACAGAAGGGGAGGGAAGGCUUCUAGCUACUGGGAUUUGGCAGGAAUGAGUGCUCCCUCCCACCUCACAUGACCUGAUGUGACCCCUUUCCUCCCCCACACUAGUUCCCAACCUCUCACCAUCAGCAGCAGCCACUAAAGAGUAGGCACAGAGCAGGGGUCUCAAAGUCAUGGCCAGAAGAUGACAUAUGCAGACACCGCCCCCUGCAGCUCCCAUUGGCUGGGGAAGAGGGACAGAGAUACCAUCAUUAGUUGCCAGGCAGCAUCACUUUUUUCCACAAUGAAUAUAAACAAGUCAAAAUACUGAACACAACUAUCUGAUGCAAACCUUGCGGCAAUCCUGAAGGUUUCAAUUGCUCAGUCACUGGGGCCAAACAUCAACAAACUGACAACUGAAAUGUUGCCAAGUGUCUGGCAAGCGAAGAAUUGUAUAAAGUUAUAUGACAGUUUUA